UGGGGAAUAUUGGACAAUGGGCGAAAGCCUGAUCCAGCAAUGCCGCGUGCAGGAAGAAGGCCUUCGGGUUGUAAACUGCUUUUGUACGGAACGAAAAGGCUCUUUCUAAUAAAGAGGGCCCAUGACGGUACCGUAAGAAUAAGCACCGGCUAACUACGUGCCAGCAGCCGCGGUAAUACGUAGGGUGCGAGCGUUAAUCGGAAUUACUGGGCGUAAAGCGUGCGCAGGCGGUUCUAUAAGACAGAUGUGAAAUCCCCGGGCUCAACCUGGGAAUGGCAUUCGUGACUGUAGAGCUGGAGUACGGUAGAGGGGGAUGGAAUUCCGCGUGUAGCAGUGAAAUGCGUAGAUAUGCGGAGGAACACCGAUGGCGAAGGCAAUCCCCUGGACCUGUACUGACGCUCAUGCACGAAAGCGUGGGGAGCAAACAGGAUUAGAUACCCCAGUAGUCCCUGAGCGGGC
rnacentral:rRNA from 1 species